CAGCAGCCGCGGUAAUACAGAGGGUGCGAGCGUUAAUCGGAAUUACUGGGCGUAAAGCGCACGUAGGCGGCUUGGCAUGUCGGGUGUGAAAUCCCCGGGCUCAACCUGGGAACUGCAUCCGAAACUGCCUUGCUAGAGUAUGGGAGAGGGAAGUGGAAUUUCCGGUGUAGCGGUGAAAUGCGUAGAUAUCGGAAGGAACAUCAGUGGCGAAGGCGACUUCCUGGACCAAUACUGACGCUCAGGUGCGAAAGCGUGGGGAGCAAACAGGAUUAGAUACCCUGGUAGUCCACGCCCUAAACGAUGACAACUAGAUGUCGGGAGGGUUUGCCUUCCGGUGUCGUAGCUAACGCGUUAAGUUGUCCGCCUGGGAAGUACGGCCGCAAGGCUAAAACUCAAAGGAAUUGACGG
rnacentral:rRNA from 1 species